UUAUUUCCAUAUGAGAAAAAGAAAAGAUAAAGAGAGAUGAAACAAACAAGAUAAGCACAUUGAAAUUUAACAAUUGAACUCCAAAGACAGAAUAAAAUUAAGAAAAGUAAAGAAACACAAACAUAACGAAGAAGAGUCCCCGAAGCAGACCCCAUACAAACAAACAUAAACCCUUCAUAUAAAAACCCAACAUUAUUCCUCUUACAUUAUUAUCAUUUCCCUUCUUGUGCCUUCCUCUGGAUGUCUUGUCCCACUUCCUUGGUCUUCAUCCCAACAUAACCGGCCAUGUCCUGCAUGCGCUUCUUCGCCUGGUCCAGUGAUUCUGGCAUGGCAGUACCUUCCCUGAAAUACUUCAACGCCCACGACUGCGACGUCAGCCCGCUCAGCCCGAGAGCUCCAGCAACCAUAAAUGCCAUCAUAGCAAGGCCAAUAACAACGGCAGCAGGAAGAAUUAUAGGGCCGAAGAGAAUAAAAAGUGGGGUGGCAAUGGCCAUCCCGAUGAGCGUAUUCGUUAAGGUUAUGCCAGAGAGAGAUAGAAGACCACCACCAACCGGCAGAAAGGUUAACACAGCUAACACUUUGGAGGCUGAUGGACCCUUCUGUUGGCCCUUGUAGCCAGUAGUUGGAUCAUAGCGGUGCACUUGCACCUGGUGCGGCUGCGGACGAUCAGCCAUUGUCAGUAGCUUCCAAGUUCAAAGAAGUCGCCAAAAAAGAGUACAAAGAAAGAGAUUAUCAGUCGAACGAAGAGGA
rnacentral:lncRNA from 1 species